CCUACGGGGGGCUGCAGUAAGGAAUAUUGGUCAAUGGACGAAAGUCUGAACCAGCCAUGCCGCGUGGAGGAUGAAGGUCCUCUGGAUUGUAAACUUCUUUUAUAUGGGACGAAAAAAGGCUUUUCUAAGUCGUCUGACGGUACCAUAUGAAUAAGCACCGGCUAACUCCGUGCCAGCAGCCGCGGUAAUACGGAGGGUGCAAGCGUUAUCCGGAUUCACUGGGUUUAAAGGGUGCGUAGGUGGGUUGGUAAGUCAGUGGUGAAAUCUCCGAGCUUAACUUGGAAACUGCCAUUGAUACUAUCAGUCUUGAAUAUUGUGGAGGUUAGCGGAAUAUGUCAUGUAGCGGUGAAAUGCUUAGAUAUGACAUAGAACACCAAUUGCGAAGGCAGCUGGCUACACAUAUAUUGACACUGAGGCACGAAAGCGUGGGGAUCAAACAGGAUUAGAUACCCUGGUAGUC
rnacentral:rRNA from 1 species